AGCGAACGCUGGCGGCAGGCCUAACACAUGCAAGUCGAACGGAUCCUUCGGGAUUAGUGGCGGACGGGUGAGUAACACGUGGGAACGUGCCCUUUGGUUCGGAACAACUCAGGGAAACUUGAGCUAAUACCGGAUGUCCCCUUCGGGGGAAAGAUUUAUCGCCAUUGGAGCGGCCCGCGUCUGAUUAGCUAGUUGGUGAGGUAAAGGCUCACCAAGGCGACGAUCAGUAGCUGGUCUGAGAGGAUGUUCAGCCACAUUGGGACUGAGACACGGCCCAAACUCCUACGGGAGGCAGCAGUGGGGAAUCUUGCGCAAUGGGCGAAAGCCUGGCGCAGCCAUGCCGCGUGAAUGAUGAAGGUCUUAGGAUUGUAAAAUUCUUUCACCGGGGACGAUAAUGACGGUACCCGGAGAAGAAGCCCCGGCUAACUUCGUGCCAGCAGCCGCCGUAA
rnacentral:rRNA from 1 species